UACGUAGGGUGCGAGCGUUGUCCGGAAUUAUUGGGCGUAAAGAGCUUGUAGGCGGUCUGUCGCGUCUGCUGUGAAAACCCGGGGCUCAACCCCGGGCGUGCAUUCGAUACUGCGCGGCUCGAGACAGGUAGGGGAGAUCGGAAUUCCUGGUGUAGCGGUGAAAUGCGCAGAUAUCAGGAGGAACACCAAUGGCGAAGGCAGCUCGCUGGGACGGUACUGACGCUGAGACGCGAAAGCGUGGGGAGCAAACAGG
rnacentral:rRNA from 1 species